rnacentral:rRNA from 1 species
UACGUAGGGGGCAAGCGUUGUCCGGAUUUAUUGGGCGUAAAGAGCGUGUAGGCGGUUCGGUAGGUCCGUUGUGAAAACUCAAGGCUCAACCUUGAGACGCCGAUGGAAACCCUCGAACUAGAGUCCGGAAGAGGAGAGUGGAAUUCCUGGUGUAGCGGUGAAAUGCGCAGAUAUCAGGAAGAACACCCGUGGCUAAGGCGGCUCUCUAGUACGGUACUGACGCUGAGACGCGAAAGCGUGGGGAG